rnacentral:rRNA from 1 species
CUAAUAGCGUAUAUUAAAGUUGUUGCAGUUAAAAAGCUCGUAGUUGAAUUUCGGGAUCAAUAUAUCGGUCGUGCCUUCGGUAUGCACUGGUAUUAUUGAUUUCUACCUUCUGACGAACCAUGAUGUCAUUAAUUUGGUGUCAUGGGAAAUCAGGACUGUUACUUUGAAAAAAUUAGAGUGUUUAAAGCAGGUACACGCUUGAAUACAUUAGCAGGGAAUAAUGAAAUAGGACGUUUGACCCUAUUUUGUUGGUUUCUAGGAUCGACGUAAUGAUUAAUAGGGAUAGUUGGGGGCAUUAGUAUUCAAUUGUCAGAGGUGAAAUUCUUGGAUUUAUUGAAGACUAACUACUGCGAAAGCAUUUGCCAAGGAUGUUUUCAUUAAUCAAGAACGAAAGUUAGGGGAUCGAAGACGAUCAGAUACCGUCGUAGUCUUAACCAUAAACUAUGCCGACUAGGGAUCGGAUGAUGUUAAUUUUUUAAUGACUCAUUCGGCGCCUUACG